CGUGAGGGCGGGCGGGGGCGCAGCGCCACAGAACAGCCGGAGUGGGGGCGGGACCAGAAGGAGCGUCCAAUCGAGCUCCCGGCCGCGCACGGGACACCGCAAGAGUUACACCGUGUGCCCGAGAGCGUUGUCCAAAUGCUCCUGGAAUUCUGUCAGCCUUGGUGUUGUGACCACUGCCCCGGGGAGGCCUGUUCAGUGCACGACCACCCUCUGGGUGAAAAGUCUUUUCCUGAUACCCGGCCGUACCCUGCCCUGACACAGCUCCAGCCGUUCCCUCGGGCCCUCUUCCUGGUCACAGAGCAGGGAUCAGUGCCUGCCCCUGCGCUGCCCUUCGGGAAGAAGCUGCAGUGAGUUCGCCCCUCAGCCUCCUCCUGGCUGAACAGGCCAAGGGCCCUCGGCUGCUCCUGUUGUGGCUGAGGGACGGCGCCAGGCCGAGGGGCGCUGCCACCGCGGCGGGGACGGGCCGUGCACCGAGCAGUCCUCGGCUGGAGGUGAUUAACGCUAAUUAGCUGCUGUCCCUGCGCACAGCACCGCCCUCCCCCACUGCCCGUCCCGCUUAUCGGGGGACUGUGACCGAGAGGUCGAGUCCUGGGCCGUCACCCGCGGGACACGGGAUGGAAAACCUUAAAUCCACUCGUUGAGUUAUGUGUGGAAGGCUGGAGUGGCGUGCCUGGUGCUUCAGGAGCCCAAGAACGUGUGAGAUGAGUGUCAGUAGCACGAGUGGAGCUUCCUGCAUAAGGGAAAAGAGCAGAGAUAAUGUCAGCACUACACAGCGGUAGCAGAGUUCACGAGGAAAACCUCGGAAUCGCCGCAUCAUUCGCAGCUACAACUUCAGCUGUAUAAAUACAGCAUCCAAUAAACAGACCUUCACCACAGUAAAAUCACAAGAAGGGUAUUAAUGCUACUUUCCGUCAUAUAUUGCAUGCUCACACCUUCAGCGAGAGCGUCAUGGUCCUCUUGUCUCUGAACACACUACUCAAAACACAAAGAAUUAAACAGAGAUACCACGCAUCAACAGAGACAGACUGAAGAAACAGCAGAAUUAAGACGUCAUUAUCAACCAUCUGUUCCUGAUCCUACUCUCUAUUUCUUCCAUCAAAGAAAUAAUUCCAGGCAUGAAACACCUCAUUGGAGCAACAAUCACCUGAAACUCCUGGAGUGCUGCAAUCUGAGGGUCAGCUUGGCUUGCAGGGGAAACAGCACUUGAAGAAACUUUCAGGUCUAAUUAUCAAGCAAAUUGACUGAAUUAAGUCAACCACUCUGCAGAACACCUAUUUACACACAUAAUCAACAGCAGAUUGAGGAUACAAACCUGAAGAGGUUCCCAAUGCUCUUCAGUGAUGGGUCUCUUCAUGGAAGACACAACGCUGCUGCAGCCCCAUCUCCUGAGCAAACACACCCUGUGUAAGUCCCUCAAUCUCCCUGCAGGACUUGUGUGAAUAAGUAACAUUUGCUGCAUGAAAACAAAACCCCUAAUCACCAAACCCUUGAAGAACAGCACCCUGUGGAAUAGAUUACAAUAUUUUAGCAUGUUUGUUUCAUUUGAUGUUUCCACCAGAGCUCCUUUAACAGUGAUACAAACUGCACAUUGGGUACUCAUUACACCACACUGGAGAGAACAGGGAUCUUGUAAAUACCCAUUAAACUGGGGUUACACUUUCAUUCCCUGCACACUGUGUCUGAGCUGAGGCACAAACUCGUGUCCUUGAGAGCAGGAGUUGGGGCAUAUUCCUGGCAUGCUGCCACUCUCCAUGAAAUAUGUCCUUUUUACAGAUGUUUCUUAUACUAUUGGGAACAAAUUGCUCAUCCACAUGCACAAAGACAUACCUGGAUAGACAUAAGGUAUUAUGAAGAAAAAAAUUUAUGUCUAUAUUCAGUGAAAAGUGGGUCUAAACAAACUCAGUUUGGAGAGUACUAAGUGUGGACAUCUCUCAUUUUCUUAAACACAAGUCAGAGAUAAAGGCCACGCAAAUUUCACAGGUGGGUGUAGAAAUGUGCAUCACUGAGUUUAACCAAAUGCAAAGCAGAAUUGAAGCUUAUUAGCUUUGUUGGCAUAUGUAAGCAACUUAUUAACUAGUUCUACAAAUAAACUGCAGUUUGUCCCAUUGCAUCCUGUUGACAGAUCUGUCAUACAACUAUGAACAAUGGGAAAUUUCCAGAGUUUCUGAAGCCAAUUCCUGCUAAAGAUAGAGCACAUCUCCUUUUUUUGUGAAGUGAAAGGUAUCCUCAGAUUGUUCAGUUAUGGAAAGACCUGUUUGAUGAAUGAGCUGGACAAGAUCUUCAGCGUGCACAAUGAUUUGACAUCAAAGAGCCCUGCAGGUAGGGCAGCUUAUUAACUUAUAAGACUUUUAAAAAGGUUUUAGCGUUUACACACUUAUAAAAAGAACACUUCUGAAAGUUUAGAGGAAGGGAGUCUAUUUAAUUUCAGAGUCCCAUCUCCACAAUCACGAGGGCUGGAUCUCUGCAUUGGCAUUUUGGGAGGAUCGCCAUUUCCACAGUUCUGUCAAAGUUGCCAGAAUAUAUGAGAAGAUGUUUAGACCAGAUUCCUGCUCUUAGUUUUAUGCUUUCUAUGGAAAGAUCCUGCAUAUGCCUGGAGUGGUGUGGAUGUAUUGAUAUGUAGGCCAGAAUAAAUACUGCUAGUGCAAAGCCUUGUCAUCAAUAUUCUUUAAAAAUCCAGUACAGUAGAACAAACUUAAUAUUGGCUUAAUAACAGGUAUUAUAUAGAGACAAAGUUGUUGCUUUAGUAGUUAGAAACCCUAAAAGCCUUUGUCAUUGAACUUUAUCACUAAACUUGGGCUCCAAAAUCCUAUAUACCCUGAGAGCACAUUGACCAUAUUUUAACUAAACUGCAAUUUACUUUAUUUGAUUUUUAUAGUGAGCCGUUUUAGCUUUGCUCUCACAAGAGCAAGAAAUUAAAGGAUUGAAAUACAUUCUGUAUUCUUGUUUAUAUGUGUUAUUCAUGUUUUGCAGUAACUGAUGGAUUUUCUAAUUUGUAAGAUUUCUUAGGCAAUCAAGGGUAACACUGAAACAACAAUGAAUGGAUAAUGAGCACACUUGCUAUAUUUGAUUUAAUGCAUUUGGCCAGGGUGAACCUAUUUGUGUUUGUUUCCUUCAACCAUAUGUUAGUAAAGUUUCAU